AGGGCAACGGGAUCCACGCCACGGGUUACGACGAGAUAGUCGCGCAUGACGAUGCCGUGGCGGUUUUC
rnacentral:sRNA from 1 species